rnacentral:tRNA from 1 species
GCGGUAGUUCAGCUGGUUAGAAUGCUGGCCUGUCACGCCGGAGGUCGCG